rnacentral:rRNA from 1 species
CCUACGGGAGGCAGCAGUGGGGAAUAUUGCACAAUGGGCGGAAGCCUGAUGCAGCAACGCCGCGUGCGGGAUGACGGCCUUCGGGUUGUAAACCGCUUUCGCCUGUGACGAAGCGUGAGUGACGGUAAUGGGUAAAGAAGCACCGGCUAACUUCGUGCCAGCAGCCGCGGUAAU